UAGGGAAUCUUCCGCAAUGGACGCAAGUCUGACGGAGCAACGCCGCGUGAGUGAAGAAGGUUUUCGGAUCGUAAAACUCUGUUGUUAGAGAAGACCAAGUGCUAGAGUAACUGUUAGCGCCUUGACGGUAUCUAACCAGAAAGCCACGGCUAACUACGUGCCAGCAGCCGCGGUAAUACGUAGGUGGCAAGCGUUGUCCGGAUUUAUUGGGCGUAAGGCGAGCGCAGGCGGUUCCUUAAGUCUGAUGUGAAAGCCCCCGGCUCAACCGGGGAGGGUCAUUGGAAACUGGGGAACUUGAGUGCAGAAGAGGAGAGUGGAAUUCCAUGUGUAGCGGUGAAAUGCGUAGAUAUAUGGAGGAACACCAGUGGCGAAGGCGACUCUCUGGUCUGUAACUGACGCUGAGGCUCGAAAGCGUGGGUAGCAAACAGGAUUAGAUACCCUGGUAGUCCACGCCGUAAACGAUGAGUGCUAAGUGUUGGAGGGUCUCCGCCCUUCAGUGCUGCAGUUAACGCAUUAAGCACUCCGCCUGGGGAGUACGACCGCAAGGUUG
rnacentral:rRNA from 1 species